rnacentral:rRNA from 1 species
CCUACGGGUGGCAGCAGUGGGGAAUCUUGCGCAAUGGGCGGAAGCCUGACGCAGCGACGCCGCGUGCGGGACGAAGGCCUUCGGGUCGUAAACUGCUUUCAGCAGGGACGAGGCCCUCACGGUGACGGUACCUGCAGAAGAAGCUCCGGCUAACUACGGGCCGGCAGCCGCGGUACUCCGUGGGGGGCGGUCGUAAUCCGGAUUCAUGGGUCGUAAGGCGCGGGUGGGCGGCCUGUUAGCGCGGGGGUCAACUACCGGGGCUAACCCGCGCUCCGCCCCCGAUACCGGCAGGCUUGAGUCUGGUAGGGGAAGGCGGAAUGCCAAGUGUAGCGGUGAAAUGCGCAGAGAUUGGGAAGAACACCGGCGGCGAAGGCGGCCUUCUGGGCCACGACUGACGCUGAGGCGCGAAAGCGAGGGGAGCGAACAGGAUUAGAUACCCCUGUAGUC